rnacentral:rRNA from 1 species
GGUGAACGCUGGCGGUAGGCCUAACACAUGCAAGUCGAACGGCAGCACAGUAAGAGCUUGCUCUUACGGGUGGCGAGUGGCGGACGGGUGAGGAAUACAUCGGAAUCUACUUUUUCGUGGGGGAUAACGUAGGGAAACUUACGCUAAUACCGCAUACGACCUACGGGUGAAAGCAGGGGAUCUUCGGACCUUGCGCGAUUGAAUGAGCCGAUGUCGGAUUAGCUAGUUGGCGGGGUAAAGGCCCACCAAGGCGACGAUCCGUAGCUGGUCUGAGAGGAUGAUCAGCCACACUGGAACUGAGACACGGUCCAGACUCCUACGGGAGGCAGCAGUGGGGAAUAUUGGACAAUGGGCGCAAGCCUGAUCCAGCCAUACCGCGUGGGUGAAGAAGGCCUCCGGGUUGUAAAGCCCUUUUGUUGGGAAAGAAAAGCAGCAGGUUAAUACCCCGCUGUUCUGACGGUACCCAAAGAAUAAGCACCGGCUAACUUCGUG